UGGGGGAUAUUGCACAAUGGAGGGAACUCUGAUGCAGCAAUGCCGCGUGAAGGAAGAAGGUUUUCGGAUUGUAAACUUCUAUCAGCAGGGAAGAAAAUGACGGUACCUGACUAAGAAGCCCCGGCUAACUAUGUGCCAGCAGCCGCGGUAAUACAUAGGGGGCAAGCGUUAUCCGGAAUGACUGGGUGUAAAGGGUGCGUAGGCGGUAAGGUAAGUCUGAUGUGAAAGACUGGGGCUCAACUCCAGGGGUGCAUUGGAAACUAUUUUACUAGAGUACAGGAGAGGAAAGCGGAAUUCCUAGUGUAGCGGUGAAAUGCGUAGAUAUUAGGAGGAACACCGGUGGCGAAGGCGGCUUUCUGGACUGAAACUGACGCUGAGGCACGAAAGCGUGGGGAGCAAACA
rnacentral:rRNA from 1 species